rnacentral:rRNA from 1 species
GACGAACGCUGGCGGCGUGCCUAAUACAUGCAAGUCGAACGCAAAACUUUCACCGAAUGCUUGCAUUCACGAAAGUUUUGAGUGGCGAACGGGUGAGUAACACGUGGGUAACCUGCCCAGAAGAGGGGGAUAACACUUGGAAACAGGUGCUAAUACCGCAUAAUAACAAAAACCGCAUGGUUUUUGUUUGAAAGAUGGUUUUGCUAUCACUUCUGGAUGGACACGCGGCGUAUUAGCUAGUUGGUAAGGUAAAGGCUUACCAAGGCAAUGAUACGUAGCCGAACUGAGAGGUUAAUCGGCCACAUUGGGACUGAGACACGGCCCAAACUCCUACGGGAGGCAGCAGUAGGGAAUCUUCCACAAUGGACGAAAGUCUGAUGGAGCAACGCCGCGUGAGUGAAGAAGGUUUUCGGAUCGUAAAACUCUGUUGUUAGAGAAGAACGUGUGUGAGAGUAACUGCUCAUGCAGUGACGGUAUCUAACCAGAAAGCCACGGCUAACUACGUGCCAGCCGCCGCGGUAA